GACGAACGCUGGCGGCGUGCCUAAUACAUGCAAGUUGAACGCGGAAUUUGGGUACUUGUACCAACUGGAUGAUCAGCGAACGGGUGAGUAACGCGGGGGGAGUCUGCCUUUGAGCGGGGGAUAACAUUUGGGAACGAAUGCUAAGGCCGCAUAAAAUAUUUACAUACAAGUUUUCAGUUUUAAAGAUGCUAUUGCAUCAGUCAAAGAUGAUCCCGCGUUGUAUUAGCUAGUUGGUGGGGUAAAGGGUCACCAAGGCGAUGGUACAUAACCGGCCUGAGAGGGUGAUCGUCCACAUUGGGACUGAGACACGGCCCAAACUCCUUCGGGCGGAAGCAGUAGCGAGUCUUCGGCGAGAGACGGAAGUGGGGAAGAGCAACGCCGCGUGGGAGAAGAAGGUUAUCGGAGCGUAAAAAGCGGUUGGUAGAGAAGGACGUUAGUGAGAGUGGAAAGCGCAUCAAGUGAAGGUAACCACCAAGAAAAGGACGGCUAACUACGUG
rnacentral:rRNA from 1 species